GACGAACGCUGGCGGCGUGCUUAACACAUGCAAGUCGAACGGAGAGGCCCUGCUCUUGUGGGGUGCUCGAGUGGCGAAAGGGUGAGUAACACGUGAGUAACCUGCCCUUGACUUUGGGAUAACUUCAGGAAACUGGGGCUAAUACCGGAUAUGAGCUCCUGCUGCAUGGUGGUGGUUGGAAAGUUUCGGCGGUUGGGGAUGGACUGGCGGCUUAUCAGCUUGUUGGUGGGGUAGUGGCUUACCAAGGCUUUGACGGGUAGCCGGCCUGGGAGGGUGACCGGCCACAUUGGGACUGAGAUACGGCCCAGACUCCUACGGGAGGAAGCAGUGGGGAAUAUUGCACAAUGGGCGGAGGCCUGAUGCAGCAACGCCGCGUGCGGAAUGACGGCUUUCGGGUUGUAAACCGCUUUCGCGUGUGACGAAGAGUGAGUGACGGUAAUGGGUAAAGAAGCACCGGCUAACUACGUG
rnacentral:rRNA from 1 species